rnacentral:rRNA from 1 species
UACGGAGGGUGCAAGCGUUAUCCGGAUUCACUGGGUUUAAAGGGUGCGUAGGCGGAUAUGUAAGUCCGUGGUGAAAUCUCUGGGCUUAACCCGGAAACUGCCAUGGAUACUAUGUGUCUUGAAUGUUGUCGAGGUGGGCGGAAUAUGUCAUGUAGCGGUGAAAUGCUUAGAUAUGACAUAGAACACCAAUUGCGAAGGCAGCUCACUAAGCAAAUAUUGACGCUGAGGCACGAAAGCGUGGGGAUCAAACAGG